rnacentral:rRNA from 1 species
UGGGGAAUAUUGCACAAUGGGCGCAAGCCUGAUGCAGCCAUGCCGCGUGUGUGAAGAAGGCCUUCGGGUUGUAAAGCACUUUCAGCGAGGAGGAAGGUGGUGAACUUAAUACGUUCAUCAAUUGACGUUACUCGCAGAAGAAGCACCGGCUAACUCCGUGCCAGCAGCCGCGGUAAUACGGAGGGUGCAAGCGUUAAUCGGAAUUACUGGGCGUAAAGCGCACGCAGGCGGUUUGUUAAGUCAGAUGUGAAAUCCCCGGGCUCAACCUGGGAACUGCAUUUGAAACUGGCAAGCUAGAGUCUCGUAGAGGGGGGUAGAAUUCCAGGUGUAGCGGUGAAAUGCGUAGAGAUCUGGAGGAAUACCGGUGGCGAAGGCGGCCCCCUGGACGAAGACUGACGCUCAGGUGCGAAAGCGUGGGGCAGCAAACAGGAUUAGAUACCCUGGUAGUCCACGCUGUAAACGAUGUCGAUUUGGAGGUUGUGCCCUUGAGGCGUGGNUUCCGGAGCUAACGNGUUAAAUCGACCGCCUGGGGAGUACGGCCGCAAGGUUAAAACUUAAAGGAAUUG